GACGAACGCUGGCGGUGUGCUUAACACAUGCAAGUCGAACGGAAAGGCCCUUCGGGGUACUCGAGUGGCGAACGGGUGAGUAACACGUGGGUGAUCUGCCCUGCACUUUGGGAUAAGCCUGGGAAACUGGGUCUAAUACCGAAUAUGAUCAUCGGCUUCAUGGUCGGUGGUGGAAAGCUUUUGUGGUGUGGGAUGGGCGCGGGGCGUAUCAGCUUGUUGGGGGGGUAAUGGCAUACCAAGGCGACGACGGGUAGCCGGCCUGAGAGGGUGAACGGCCACACGGGUACUGAGAGACGGCCCAGACGCCAACGGGAGGCAGCAGUGGGGAAUAUGGCACAAUGGGCGCAAGCCUGAUGCAGCGACGCCGCGUGAGGGAUGACGGCCUUCGGGUUGUAAACCGCUUUCAGCACAGACGAAGCGCAAGUGACGGUAUGUGCAGAAGAAGGACCGGCCAACUACGUG
rnacentral:rRNA from 1 species